rnacentral:lncRNA from 1 species
CAGUAGAAAACUGACAGAACUGGAGUUCCUCCUGUGCCUCAGUGGUUAGCGAACCCAACUAGCAACCAUGAGGACGUGCGUUCAAUCCCUGGCCUUGCUCAGUGGAUUAAGGAUCUGGCAUUGCUGUGAACUGUAGUGUAGGUCACAGACACAGCUUGGAUCCCGUGUUGCUGUGGCUGUGGUGUGGGCCGGUGGCUGCAGCUCCUAUUGGACCCCUAGCCUGGGAACCUCCAUAUGUCACGGGUGCAGCCCUAAAAAGACAAAAAGACCAAAAAAAAAUAUAAUAAUAGACAGAAUGCUGUAACCCUGCUAUAAUGGAAAAAAAUUAAAAUCAUUAAUAAUUUAAAAAAACUAAAAAAAAAAAAAAGAAAAUUUCCCUUUGGCACAUUCUCUAUUCCCUUUCCCUGCUACAUUUGGCUUCAUCACACUACAUAUUUUAAUUAUUUUGUUAUUUUUCCCUCUACUUCAACUACGCUAUAAGCUCUAGGAGGGAAGAAACUCUUGUCCAUAUUAUUUUUUCUGCUUAUGCCUAAAUCAUGGCCUGAACUAAAAGAAAAGCUCAAUACGUAUUUGUUGAAUCAAUUUAACACAUUUUUCUGAUCCCCCAAAUAUUCAUUAUUUUCUAAUUUUCUUUGUUUUUUAAUUUUUUAUUAUAGUUGAUUUACAUUGUUCUGUCAAUUUAUGCUAUACAGCAAAGUUACCCAGUUACAUACACACACAUAUAUAUAUGUAUAUACAUAUAUAUACACACACACAAUUUUUUCUCGCAUUAUCCCCCACCAUAUUUCAUCACAAGUGAUUAUCUACUCCCCCAAAUUUCUUUUUUUAUUUUCUAAUUUUCUUUUCUGUACUUUUGUCACCCUGGGAUCUAGAAUUACCUAUUGCAUGUUUAGAUUUUUCUAUCCAGGAUCCAAGGGCGCUGAGGUUUGUGUUCUUAGAUGUUAAACAUUUUUUUUUUUUUUUUUUUUUUUUUUUUUUUUUNUUUUUGUCUUUUCAGGGCUGUACCUGUGGUAUAUGGAGGUUCCCAGGCUAGGGGUUGAAUUGGAGCUGUAGCCACCGGCCUACACCACAGCCACAGCAAUGUGGGAUCCAAGCCAUGUCUGCAACCUAUACCACAGCACAUGUCAACACCAGAUCCUUAACCCACUGAGUGAGGCCAGGGAUUGAACCUGCGUCCUCAUGAAUACUAGUCGAGUUCAUAACCC